rnacentral:piRNA from 1 species
UGUACAAGGAAGGGCGCUACCUUUAUGC